rnacentral:rRNA from 1 species
GAUGAACGCUAGCUACAGGCUUAACACAUGCAAGUCGAGGGGAAACGCCAUCGAAAGCUUGCUUUUGAUGGGCGUCGACCGGCGCACGGGGGAGGAACGCGUAUCCAACCUGCCCACCACUUGGGGAUAACCUUGCGAAAGUAAGACUAAUACCCAAUGAUAUCUCUAGAAGACAUCUGAAAGAGAUUAAAGAUUUAUCGGUGAUGGAUGGGGAUGCGUCUGAUUAGCUUGUUGGCGGGGUAACGGCCCACCAAGGCAACGAUCAGUAGGGGUUCUGAGAGGAAGGUCCCCCAAAUUGGAACUGGGGCACGGUCCAAACUCCUACGGGAGGCAGCAGUGAGGAAUAUUGGCAAAUGGACGAGAGUCUGAACCAGCCAAGUAGCGUGCAGGAAGACGGGCCUAUGGGUUGUAAACUGCUUUUAUAAGGGAAUAAGGUGAGUCUCGGGAGACUUUUUGAAGGUACCUGAUGAAUAAGGACCGGCUAAUUACGUG